rnacentral:tRNA from 1 species
GGAGGAUUCGCCUAGAGGCCUAGGGCGCUCGCUUGGAAAGCGGGUUGGGGGCAACCCUCACGAGUUCGAAUCUCGUAUCCUCCGCCA